ensembl:lncRNA
UCUGAGAAUUUGUGUCUCUUUAUCGAGGGAUCUUUCAGGCUAGCAUUUGACACCACUGUUUUUGCAGUAGCUUGUGUGGACUUGCCCCGGGGCAAGAGGACAAACUGAAUGGUUCCCAGAGGACCCUAUCUGGCAUUUAAUGAUGCCAUUAUAGUUGCAAGAGAAUUGAAUGUAUUUACCCAAUGCUCAGUGGGGAAAAUAAUAACAGCAGAUAUUUAGCUGAUGAUGACAUACAGCUCCUCUGGAGAGCUGUGAGAACCUAUUGAUUCUCACUUCAUAAAAUGCUUAUUUGAAAACUGGUAUCUGUGAGAGUUUUCCAAGUGCUGUUCCACUAAUGUGGUUUUUCUCAGAGCACCCAACUAAAAAGUGGAAAAUAUUUUGUCCUAUGUCUGUAUAUCCCCAAAUAUCUAGAAGUUUUGAGUUGAUUAGACUAGAUGUUUGGAUAGUAGGUUGAAUUUUCCACCAUUUGUCCAGUUAUUUUGGCUCUAAGUGUUCCAGCAUAAAUAUGUACAUGAAUUAUUUGUUGUCGUGUUUUUAAUGCAGGGCAAUGUCCUUGAUCUAAUUCUUUUAAAACCUGUCUUUUACAAUGGUCAGAGAAAAAUGUGAUAGGCACUUUUUGAUUAGUACUUUUCAAACUAUGUUUACCUCUGGUCUGGGAUUACUUUUUUUUUGUGGCAGACACAUAUUGAGAUGCAGAGCAUGUUGGGAUAAGUCUUAGGAGGAUGCUUGUCUAGGAAGUCAGUUGACAUACCAUGAAAUGAAAAAUUUAAGAUAAACGUUCAUGGCUAGAGCCAAGUAACUGAGUUUCCUCUGUUUUCUGUCUCAGUCUCUUUCUCUUUUGCCUGUCUCUUUUUAGUUGUCACGCCUCAGCAUUGGAUCAAAACAAGAGAGAAAUAAAUACACAAUUAGAGUCUUUGCUCCUUUGUACAGUGCUGUUGCUGAGAUGGAGUCUUGAUCUGUCGCUCAGACUGGAGUGCAGUGGUGUGUUCUCGGCUCACAGCAACCUCCACUACCUGGGUUUAAGCGACUCUCCUGCCUCAGCUUCCAGAGUAGCUGGGACUACAGGUGAAAAUACUGUCUUUAGGAGGAAUUAUUUUCUAGUACUACCUUACCUUUUGAUAACAUUUAAAACAUUAUUAUCAUUAUUAUUUUAAAAAAUGAGCCUUGGCUGUAAAGCUCUGAGUGAGUGCUCUUCGUUGCCAGUUGAGGGAAGCAUUUGGGAAAGUGAAUACUUGAUUUCUUGGGGCUUCUAUUUCCUAUCUGUAAAAUGGUGGUAAUAAUAUCCACCUCAUGAAUUACUGGAGUGUUCGAUUGCUGUCUGAACUUCAACUGAAAAACAUCUUCCUCCAUAAUUAGAAUAUCACAACAUUUUCAUCCUAGACAGAAAGAAGUCUUUGUCAUUUGAUUUCAUUUGCAACAUCUCCAUCCUCUUAGGUACUGUCUCUUUACCCUGACAAUCCAAACUGGUUUAGUUAGACAUAAAAAUGUCUCUGAAGGCCGUGGGAUCAUUUAUGUCAAGGCUUAAUUAAAUGACAAGUUCAAUUCCAACAAUACUGAUUUACUUGCUGUGGAAAAGUGCCAAACCUACAGUCGGUUUAAUUGAACUUAAGUGAUACCCUGUUUAUUCACCACCUACCAAAUGGCACUGUGUGUGUGUGCGCACACACACACACACGUGCACAUGCAUGCAUAAGUAUACAUACUUUAAAAACGAUACAAAUGUAGCAUAUCAAUACAUAUAUAGGUCAAUUGAGUGCAUAAUUUUCAUGCAUGCUCCUAGAAUUUUAUACCACUGUUUCCACCUCAAACUGUGGGUGGCAGCAGAGACUUGGGAAAUAUCUUCUGUGCAACUCAGAUGACUUUCCGGGGCUAUUAAGGGCAAGGAAAUGAUAGCACUAAGUGAUGAGAAAGUUGGAUGUUCAUUUAUGAACUACAAUUGACAUUCCUUUAUCAUUUCCUAUCUCAUUCGUGUGGUCAAAGAUGGCGAAAGAGGCCUGU